rfam:Danio rerio chromosome 14, GRCz11 reference primary assembly.
GAACUGGAUUUUUUUAAAUCCAUGAAUUUUCUUAAAACAUUUAGU